rnacentral:lncRNA from 1 species
UAGGACUCUUUUUGUGUGCCUUCUUUACUCAUUGAGUUCCUUAUUUUCUUGAUUGUCUUUCAUUCAUAUUCUUUCUAGUUUGUCAUACAUUGCUCUCUGUUUUUUGGUUUAGCUUUUAUUGUUUCUACCUUUUCUUGCUUGUCUUUUUUGUUCUUCUUAAAGUUGUGUGGAGACUUGUUCUUAAGUAAGUUGGUUUGUUGUGACAUAUUUCACUUGAAGCUACU